GACGAACGCUGGCGGCGCGCUUAACACAUGCAAGUCGAGCGAAGCGGCGGACGGGUGAGUAACACGUGAGUAACCGGCCUUAGACAUUGGGAUAGCCGCGGGAAACCGGGAUUAAUACCAAAUGGUCUAAGAUGGACUGGCGUCCCAUUACCUGGUUGGUGAGGUAACGGCCCACCAAGGCGACGAUGGGUAGCCGGCCUGAGAGGGUGAACGGCCACAUUGGAACUGGGAAACGGUCCAAACUCUACGGGAGGCAGCAGUGGGGAAUAUUGCAAAAUGGAGGGAACUCUGAUGCAGCGACGCCGCGUGAACUAAGAAGGCUUUCGAGUAGUAAAGUUCUUUUAUAUGGGAAGCGGUACCAUAAGAAAAAGCCCCGGCUAACUACGUGCCAGCAGCCGCGGUAAUAC
rnacentral:rRNA from 1 species